CUGUUUUUAAGCCCGCUCCUUGGUGAUCCUUGGUGCUGUUGUCCUUAAGGCACUUUCCCCUGAGAAAAGGACAGAAUCUCCUUAAUGUUCUCUGAUGAAGAUAUUGAUGCUCCAGAAUUAGGCCCACAAAUCUUCAAACUCGAGUGCAACUCGAGACUGAAUGCCUGGGGUAGUUGCUCAUUGCUGCACCCAGACCCAGAGAAGAAUUCAAAGCUAGAUAUGUGUGAAGCACUACAUACUUUUUGUGGAAGAAUACACGAACACUACAGCCUGGAGAAGAUUUAUCUCUAAUAUACUACAGCCCUGAAUAAUUUUCAGAAGCAUCCUCACCAUCUGCAAUAUCUAUUUGAAAGAUACUGAAAAGCCACUAUCAGGUCUUCCCAGAUCCUGCUCUUCUCGAGGCUGAACCACUCCAACUCUCUCUGCCUGACCUCAGAGGGGAAGUGUUCCAUCCCUUAUCAGCACAGAACAAAAUGACUUUUAGCCAUUCCUUCUUAAUUUCUGCAGCAUGAGAAAAAUUCUCAAAUUGUGUGCAAAUGACAUAAUGGUUUCCUGGCAACAUGAACUUAAUCACAGGAGAUCCAGGAGAAGACAGAAGGCUGCAAUGAUGCUGCCAAUCUGAUCCACAUUCAUUAACACUCUAUUUUUAUAUAAUACUCCAGAGAGACAGGCUGACAAAAAUCUCUUGAAGUUCAGUAAGGAGAAGUUCAGAGUUCUGAUCCCUGGGAGGAACAAGUCCAGGCACCUGGGACCACUCAGCUGGAUAACAUCUUUGCCGAAAAAGGCCUCGGAAUCUGAUGGAUACCAAGUUGAACACGAAUCAUUAUUGUGUCCUUGCUGCAAAGAAGGCUAAUGGUAAUUUUGUUUGCAUUGGACAAAGUAUCUCCAGCAAGUCAAGAGAAGUGAUCCUUCCCUUCUAUUCAGCACUGGUGAGGCCACACCUGUAGUACUGUGUUCAGUUCUGGUUCCCUAGUACAAGAGAGACAUGGACAUACUGAAAAGUGUCCAAGGGAGUGCCACCAUGAUGGAGCAUCUCUCCUAUGAAGAGAGGCUUAGACAGCUGUGACUGUUUGGCCUGGAGAAGAAGGGGCUCAGAGGGGAUCAAUGUCUUUAAAUACCUGAAGGGAGAGUGCAGAGGACAGAACCAUGCUACAUUCAGUGGUGCCUAGAGCCAGGACAAUGUACACAAAAGAGUCAAUGGGCACAAAACCACACAGGAGGCUCCCUGUGAACAACAGGCAGAGUUCUGCACUGUGCGGUUGAUGGAACACUGGCACAGGCUUCACAGAGGCUGUGGGGUCUCCUCCUUGGAGGUCCCUAGAAGCCAUGGGGAUGUGGGCCUUGGCACCCUGCUCUGGGUCACCCUGCUGCAGCAGGGCUGGGAAAGGGGGACCCAGGGAUUCCUUCCAACUUCAGAAAUUCUGUGAUAUUUUCAAGAAAUUGUGAAGAUUUGUGUGUUGAUUGUAUGUACAUAUAAUGUUAGUAUGCAUAACUACAUUGAACAUCUAAAUAUUUUAUUCUUCCAACAUGUUUAGAGGUCAAUAAUUUCUCUAUUUUGAAUUGAUUGUCUUUAAAUUUACAAAUCCAUUAUCUCUUAAUUUUUAUAUUAAUCACUAUAUCUCAUGCAUAUUUUGUCAAUAUUUAAACUAGAAAUGCAGGAAAACGCAAUCUAAGUAAUAAUAUUUUGUUAAAACUUGCACAUAUAUCAUGGUUUUAUGAUUUUUGGUUAUCAGUAUUCCACAUCACAACAUCAUGCAGUGUACUGGGAGUUAAAGAGCAAAUGCUUUAGUUCCGGGUACCUGUCUGGAAGAGAAGAAGAACUACGUUCCCCAAGAGCCUUUUCGAGUACUGUUAUCAUUCCUGCUCAAGGGAACAGAUAUAAGGGCGCAGGUCAUCUGACUCGGCUCUCUUCUUGUCUCGCUGUGUUCCCUGUCGGAUUGGCUUGCUACUGCUGCUCCCAACUGCACGCAAGGCUUCAGUACUAGUGUAAGCCCUUUGGCUCUUGGACAAUCUUUCUCUCAAUUAUUGUUGAUUUAUAUUGUAUUAUAGUGUGUUAUCUUACAUUCUGAUACUAUAUUUAGUAAAUUAGUUUGUUUC
ensembl:lncRNA